AGGUUUGUGCAUCAAAACCCACAUCUACAGUCCACGACUAUCAAAAGAUUUCUGCAAUACGCUACACUUCAAACUUCCCUCUCCAUUAUAUGAUUCUAAGCUCCAUGAUCUGUUUUUAUGAAGCGGCACAAAACCGAUAAAAAGGUUUGUGCAUCAAAUCUCAAUAACUACUGUCCACUACUCUAAG